rnacentral:tRNA from 2 species
GCAUCUGUGGCCGAGGGGUUGAUGGCAGCGAGACUCAUAAUCCGCCUUUCUUAUAGAACAUCGUGGGUUCAAAUCCCACCAGAUGCA